GUUUGGUAAAAAUGUUCGCUAACUGAGAACGAGUGGGAAGAAAAAAAAAAGAGAAAUGAGGCCACAUUGAAACUGUCGACGGACGAAAUGGCAACCAAGUUCGACGUGUUUUGUCUGGUCGUGAAAGACGGGGUUUUUGGCGAUGUAAAUCGCGGCCUGACUAUCAGAAUGAAGAGGAAUAGGCAGAGUGGGAGGUACGAAAAGAUCUGUAAGGAGGCAAGACAACCAAAGAUGUAGAACCAGAAGAUGAUGGGGCAGAAGAUCAUGACCUGAAUACAGGGAAAGGAGAGGAAGGAUUAGAAGGAAGGAGAGGAGAAGGUGAGGGAAUAAGAGAUGAAGCAGUAAUAUGUAUAUAGAGAGGAUAUGAGGAAAAAGGUACAGUAGGGGAUUCAGAAAAUAGUGGGGAAGAAACAGAAGGUAGAAUAAAGAUGGGGAAGAUAGACUCAUGAAAAACAAUAUUAUUAGAAAUAAAGAUACGGUUAGUUUGUAAGUUCACUAGCUUGUAAUCUUUCUUUCCAUAAGGGUAACCAAGAAAGACACAAGCAAUAGCCCUAGGAUCAAGUUUCCCUCUGUGUUGAGACAUAGUAGAGGAAAAAUAUAGGCAGUCAAAACACUUAGGAAAAUUAUAACCAGGAGAUUUGCCAAAAAGAACCUCAUAGGGUGUUUUGUAGUGAAGCAAUUUGGUAGGAUAUUUGUUGAUAAGGAAAGUGGUUGUCAAAAGGCACUCACCCUAGUAAAUAGUAGGAACUUUAGAUUGAAAUAGCAAAGUUCUACAAGUUUCAAGCAAGUAUUUGUGUUUCCUUUCAACAAUACUAUUUUGUUGAGGGGUGGCCACAUAACUAGUUUGUUGAAAGAUACCUUUGGAUUGAAAAUAGGUGGCAGCAAUAGCACCACUCCCCAGUUCUAAGGCAUUAUCAGAUCUAAUGAUUUUAAUUUUUGGUGGCAAAUAGCCUUUCUAUCAUAGCAAUAAAAGAUUUGAGAACACUAAAUGCAUUUCCUUUUGUGCUCAAAAGAUAGGUCCAAAUACCCCUACUAAAAUCAUCAACUAUAGUGAGAAAGUACCUAAAACCAUAAUGGGUAGUUAUUUUGUAAGGUCCCCAGUAUCGAUAUGUAGAAGUUUAAAAAUGUGUGAUGUAGAGGUAGUACUGUUGGGAAAUGGUAGCUUAUGUUGCCUGACUAAGGGACAAAUAGAACAAAGAAAAGAAUCAGUAGUAAAAGCAUUCUGUGACAAUGCAGAAAUGUGUUUCAUACUGGAAGUGUGCAUAUGCCUACGUCUUACAUGCCAUAGAUUGCCACAUGAAAUUUCAGAACUAGACAAUGAAGUGCAAACAGACUGAUGACAAAUUAUUUACAGAUGAUGAGUUUGUCUUAUUUGUCUGCAGGUUAUUAACAGAAAUAGGGUGAAAAGUUUGCAGCGGAUAAAGCCCAUCUUUCACUCUACCAAGAUCCAGAGGCUUCCUCAAGGAUGGGCCGUGUAAGAAACAAGUAGCGGAGAAGAUAAAGAGAGUAAGAUAGAUUUCCUCCAUGAUUCAUAUCCAGUGCUGUCAAAAGCAGAGAAUACCAAAGCCAUACCUAGCGAGUCUGAUGCAUGAAGAUAGUAAGGAUGAAGACGAUCGAUUUUCGCCAUUAGAGGAGGAACAGAAGCAGCAGAAUCACUGAAGCAGAAUCCUCAAUCAAGACCAUAUUCAACAGAAGAAAAUCAAGGAAUUUCUAAGAUUUCUAGAAAUUUCUGUAAAAAAAUCUAAACUAGAUAUGAUGAAAUUGAUUUGCUCUGAUACCAUGUAAAACUUGGGGAAGAAGAAAAUUAAUUUCAUUCGGCUCAAAAUAAAAUGCAUGUACAAUAUCUUAUUAUAUACACA